CUGGCGGCAGGCCUCAUACAUGCAAGUCGAACGCCCCUUCGGGGGAGUGGCAGACGGGUGAGUAACACGUGGGAACCUACCCAGAGGUUCGGAAUAACUCAGGGAAACUUGAGCUAAUACCGGAUAAGCCUUGCGAGGGAAAGAUUCAUCGCCUUUGGAUGGGCCCGCGGCAGAUUAGUUUGUUGGUGGGGUAAUGGCCUACCAAGACUACGAUCUGUAGCUGGUUUGAGAGGAUGAUCAGCCACACUGGGACUGAGACACGGCCCAGACUCCUACGGGAGGCAGCAGUAGGGAAUCUUGCACAAUGGGCGAAAGCCUGAUGCAGCCAUGCCGCGUGAGUGAAGAAGGCUCUAGGGUUGUAAAACUCUUUCAGCGGGGAAGAUAAUGACGGUACCCGCAGAAGAAGCCCCGGC
rnacentral:rRNA from 1 species